UGAGGAAUAUUGGUCAAUGGGCGCAAGCCUGAACCAGCCAUCCCGCGUGCAGGAAGACGGCCCUAUGGGUUGUAAACUGCUUUUCCAGGGGGAGAAACUUGCGUACGCGUUGCGCAAUUGACGGUACCCUGGGAAUAAGCAUCGGCUAACUCCGUGCCAGCAGCCGCGGUAAUACGGAGGAUGCGAGCGUUAUCCGGAUUCAUUGGGUUUAAAGGGUGCGUAGGCGGACUAUUAAGUCAGUGGUGAAAUCCUGCAGCUUAACUGCAGAACUGCCAUUGAUACUGAUAGCCUUGAGUUUGGUUAAGGUAGGCGGAAUGUGUAAUGUAGCGGUGAAAUGCUUAGAUAUUACACAGAACACCAAUUGCGUAGGCAGCUUACUGAGCCGACACUGACGCUGGGGCACGAAAGCGUGGGGAUCGAACAGGAUUAGAUACCCUGGUAGUCCACGCCGUAAACGAUGAUUACUCGCUG
rnacentral:rRNA from 1 species